AAUCUUGCAUGGUGCCCCCAUGGUCCAACAGACUAAGGAAUAGAGGAUACCUGGCAUCAGUAUGUUGCAAAAAUCAAUUCACGGAAAUGAAGUCAUCGAAGAAAGGCACAGACCUUGUAACGGGAACGUGUACUAAUCCUCAGCGUCAGACAACUUCAUUUGAUUUGUGCUAACAAAAUGCAAGUCACGAAGGGUCACAGUGAACAAGGAAUAAGGAAAAGACAGUAAAGCUGACAGUAUCCAGACUGACACAAAUCUUCAUAUAACAAAUUUAUUCAGAACAGGAAAGAGCUGGUUUAGAAGGAUAAUGAAUUUUGAUGGAAUUAUGAAAAAUUACUUUUAUGACUUUUCCAUAUUU
rnacentral:sRNA from 1 species